UACGGAGGGGGCUAGCGUUGUUCGGAAUUACUGGGCGUAAAGCGCACGUAGGCGGCUUUGUAAGUUAGAGGUGAAAGCCCGGGGCUCAACUCCGGAAUUGCCUUUAAGACUGCAUCGCUAGAAUUGUGGAGAGGUAAGUGGAAUUCCGAGUGUAGAGGUGAAAUUCGUAGAUAUUCGGAAGAACACCAGUGGCGAAGGCGAACUUACUGGA
rnacentral:rRNA from 1 species